rnacentral:rRNA from 1 species
UACGGAGGGUGCAAGCGUUAUCCGGAUUCACCGGGUUUAAAGGGUGCGUAGGUGGGUAGGUAAGUCAGUGGUGAAAUCCCCGAGCUUAACUUGGGAACUGCCGUUGAUACUAUCUAUCUUGAAUAUCACGUAGGUAAGCGGAAUAUGUCAUGUAGCGGUGAAAUGCUUAGAUAUGACAUAGAACACCAAUUGCGAAGGCAGCUUACUUCAAGAUUAUUGACACUGAGGCACGAAAGCGUGGGGAUCAAACAGG